rnacentral:rRNA from 1 species
ACUCCUACGGGAGGCAGCAGUCGAGGAUCUUCCGCGGUGGGCGAAAGCCUGACGGAGCAUUGCCGCGUGCGGGAUGAAGGCCCUCGGGUCGUAAACCGCUGUCACCGGGGACGAACCAAUGACGGUACUCGGAGAGGAAGCCACGUGCUAACAUACGUGCCAGCAGCCGCGUGUAAU